rfam:Myotis brandtii contig261263, whole genome shotgun sequence.
GGCGGUUCUCGGAUGACGCAUCCUGGAAUCGGGCUCCCUCCUUUCUGGUUCCAGGGUGUGUCACCCAAGAACUGCC